CCUACGGGUGGCUGCAGUGAGGAAUAUUGGUCAAUGGGCGCGAGCCUGAACCAGCCAAGUAGCGUGAAGGAUGACUGCCCUACGGGUUGUAAACUUCUUUUAUAAAGGAAUAAAGUGAGGCACGUGUGCCUUUUUGUAUGUACUUUAUGAAUAAGGAUCGGCUAACUCCGUGCCAGCAGCCGCGGUAAUACGGAGGAUCCGAGCGUUAUCCGGAUUUAUUGGGUUUAAAGGGAGCGUAGAUGGGUUGUUAAGUCAGUGGUGAAAGUUUGCGGCUCAACCGUAAAAUUGCAAUUGAUACUGGCAGCCUUGAGGACAGUUGAGGUAGGCGGAAUUCGUGGUGUAGCGGUGAAAUGCUUAGAUAUCACGAAGAACUCCGAUUGCGAAGGCAGCUUACUAGACUGCCACUGACGUUGAGGCACGAAAGUGUGGGUAUCAAACAGGAUUAGAUACCCGAGUAGUC
rnacentral:rRNA from 1 species